CCUCUUCAAGAGCAUGAGGUCAUCUCAUAUCUUCUUGCAGGUCUUGGUCCUGACUAUGAUCCUUUUGUCACCUCUAUUACAACCAGAGUUGAUUCGGUAUCCAUAGAUCGAUGAGAUUUAUGACCACCUCCUUAGUGAUGC